CCGCCAGCCAGUCAGUCAUGAGAAAGCGGUCGGCGAGCACGAGGUUCGCUCGGUCCUCACCAGUCGAACUCUCCCAGAAGGCCGGGAGGCCUCGAAAGCGUACGGUCGUUCCUCGGCCCCGAGAGCAGCCAGCCAGGAGAAGGCGAAGCACCGGUCAAGCCCGGUAAAAGGCUCAACCUACCAUCCCUCUCCGGCGUCUGACCGCCCCGAAGCCGGUCGUGGCCAACUGCCCGCGGAAAGUGCACAACGGCGGAGCCCAGCGCGACGCCCCGGCCGAGUCCACGAGCGGAUCUCGAGCCAAAGCAGCCCCGGGCCGCGCGCCGCGUUGAAUUCCGCGGGCCGAAAAGAUUGCGGAUCCACCCGUNNACCUC
rnacentral:rRNA from 1 species